AUUGAACGCUGGCGGCGUGCCUAAUACAUGCAAGUCGAACGCAGUGGGGACGGGUGAGUAACACGUGGGUAACCUCCCAUCAGAGGGGAUAACACUUGGAAACAGGUGCUAAACCGAUACUGAUGGAUGAACCCGCGGUGCAUUAGCUAGUUGGUGAGGUAACGGCUCACCAAGGCCACGAUGCAUAGCCGACCUGGGGGGGUGAUCGGCAAAACUGGGACUGAGACACGGCCCAGACUCCAACGGGAGGCAGCAGUAGGGAAUCUUCGGAAAUGGACGAAAGUCUGACCGAGCAACGCCGCGUGAGUGAAGAAGGUUUGCGGAUCGUAAAACUCUGUUGUUAGAGAAGCGGUAUCUAACCAGAAAGCCACGGCUAACUACGUGCCAGCAGCCGCGGUAAUUC
rnacentral:rRNA from 1 species